UACGUAGGGUGCAAGCGUUGUCCGGAAUUAUUGGGCGUAAAGAGCUCGUAGGCGGUCUGUCACGUCGGCUGUGAAAACCCGAGGCUCAACCUCGGGCCUGCAGUCGAUACGGGCAAACUAGAGUACUGCAGGGGAGACUGGAAUUCCUGGUGUAGCGGUGAAAUGCGCAGAUAUCAGGAGGAAUACCGGUGGCGAAGGCGGCAUCCUGGACCGGCAUUGACGCUGAACAGCGAAAGCUAGGGGAGCAAACGGG
rnacentral:rRNA from 1 species